rnacentral:rRNA from 1 species
CCUACGGGUGGCAGCAGUGAGGAAUAUUGGUCAAUGGACGAAAGUCUGAACCAGCCAAGUAGCGUGAAGGAAGACUGAUCUAUGGGUUGUAAACUUCUUUUAUAUGGGAAUAAAAUUAUCCACGUGUGGGAUUUUGCAUGUACCCUAUGAAUAAGGAUCGGCUAACUCCGUGCCAGCAGCCGCGGUAAUACGGAGGAUGCGAGCGUUAUCCGGAUUUAUUGGGUUUAAAGGGAGCGUAGGUGGAUUGUUAAGUCAGCUGUGAAAGUUUGUGGCUCAACCAUAAAAUUGCAGUUGAAACUGGCAGACUUGAGUACAGUAGAGGUAGGCGGAAUGCGUGGUGUAGCGGUGAAAUGCAUAGAUAUCACGAAGAACUCCGAUUGCGAAGGCAGUUCACUAGGCUACAACUGACACUGAGGCUCGAAAGUGUGGGGAUCAAACAGGAUUAGAUACCCCAGUAGUC